rnacentral:rRNA from 1 species
AUGGCUCAGGAUGAACGCUGGCGGCGUGCUUAACACAUGCAAGUCGAACGGAGUAAUAUGAAGUCUCGGACAGAUAUACUAGUGGCGGACGGGUGAGUAACGCGUGGGUAACCUACCUCAUACAGGGGGAUAACAGUUGGAAACGACUGCUAACACCGCAUAACAAGUUGGGACCGCAUGAUCCUAACUUCAAAUAUUUAUAGGUAUGAGAUGGGCCCGCGUCUGAUUAGCUAGUUGGUGGGGUAAUGGCCUACCAAGGCGACGAUCAGUAGCCGGCUUGAGAGAGUGACCGGCCACAUUGGGACUGAGACACGGCCCAAACUCCUACGGGAGGCAGCAGUGGGGAAUAUUGGACAAUGGGGGCAACCCUGAUCCAAGCGACGCCGCGUGAGUGAAGAAGUAUUUCGGUAUGUAAAGCUCUAUCAGCAGGGAAGAUAAUGACAGUACCUGACUAAGAAGCCCCGGCUAACUACGUGCCAGCCGCAGC